CCUAAAAAACAGAAUGAAAUCAUUUAGUUUUCAGCAGAAAUUAGACAUAUACAUUUUACCUAUUAACUCUCAUGAUACACAGUUCAGAGUUUUUAGCUUUGACGCUUUUAUUUACCUUUAAGCUUUUCUAUAAAAAACAUUUGUGAAUAGAACUACUGUUUAAACUUUAGCUUUUUCUGUGCAAGAGGCACCAGGGUACAUGACUACUUAACUUGCCUUUAAUACAAACAAAAAAUGAGCAUACCACACCAAUUAAACAAAAACAGUAAGACACCACCACAACUGUCCGUCUUUUUUGCAAUUUCAAUACGAAGACUUAACUACUUUCCCCAUCUCGGUAGAGUGGGAUCCUUCCAGAUCAGUGUUGAGGCAUAAUGCAAGGAGAUUAAUAGAUUUUAAGACCUGAAGGGACAGUUCAUCUAGUCUGACUUUCUCUAUAUCACACACCACUAAAUUUCCACUCAGCUACACCCGUAUUGAGCCAAAUAACUUAUUUUUGACUAAAGCACUGAAUUGCCAAUGCCUGAACUCUUCAAGUACUGUGACUCUAUACAGGACUUUAGUCUCUAGGACAAUUAAUCCAGAGCCUUUCACUAACUUUUUUUUUAUUAUUUUUAAAACUUAGAGAACAAUAUAAGUAAAGGGUUGCUAUCAGAAUAUAUUUUGAAACCUUCAGACAGUCUUAAAUUGCUGCUAUUUUGAGGUGUUCACUUCAAUCAUCGUUCUAAAAAGUCAAGCUAUUACAACAUCCUAAAAUAAUCUAGUGUCCAAUUCAUUUAACUUUUUAGUUUGACAAUAGGAAACCAAUUAUUUUUGUAAUAUAAGAAGUGUGAUAUUAAGAGAGAAAGCCAAGAAUACAACUGUGCACAUUCAUUUUCAUACAGGAUACCAUAUUCCUAUCCAGAUCUGUAGCAAGUUGCUGAAAACCUAGGGUGUCCAGAACUGAACAAAGUCAUACAAAGAGGAACUACUACCUCCUUGUUUUGUGACAUGAUGCUUUUGUACACGCAUCACAAAAUUGUAUUGGUCUUUGCCUGCCAUAUCACAGUGCAAACUCAUACCGAAUUUGUUGUCUGUCAAUUUCAGGUCUCAGCAUAUCUGUUUGCCACAUUUUCCCCUCAUACAGAAUUUGUGAUUUCUUUUGCCCCGGAUUUAAAAGCUUGCAUUUUUCCAUGUUUAA